rnacentral:rRNA from 1 species
UGGGGAAUAUUGCACAAUGGGCGCAAGCCUGAUGCAGCCAUGCCGCGUGUAUGAAGAAGGCCUUCGGGUUGUAAAGUACUUUCAGCGGGGAGGAAGGUGUUGUGGUUAAUAACCGCAGCAAUUGACGUUACCCGCAGAAGAAGCACCGGCUAACUCCGUGCCAGCAGCCGCGGUAAUACGUAGGGUGCGAGCGUUAAUCGGAAUUACUGGGCGUAAAGCGCACGCAGGCGGUCUGUCAAGUCGGAUGUGAAAUCCCCGGGCUCAACCUGGGAACUGCAUUCGAAACUGGCAGGCUAGAGUCUUGUAGAGGGGGGUAGAAUUCCAGGUGUAGCGGUGAAAUGCGUAGAGAUCUGGAGGAAUACCGGUGGCGAAGGCGGCCCCCUGGACAAAGACUGACGCUCAGGUGCGAAAGCGUGGGGAGCAAACAGGAUUAGAUACCCUGGUAGUCCACGCCGUAAACGAUGUCGACUUGGAGGUUGUGCCCUUGAGGCGUGGCUUCCGGAGCUAACGCGUUAAGUCGACCGCCUGGGGAGUACGGCCGCAAGAUUA